UUUUUUCUUCAUAGGGUUUUGGGAAGACUGAGGCAAUCGUUGCUGAAGUCAGUGUUGUAAUGGUGAAUCAGGAUUUUUAAUGAAGUGGGUUUGAUUACUCUUGACUGUUUUGUGAAAUCGAGUUACGUCUGAGAUUGAAGAAUUAAAAGGGUGUCUAUAGGAUUGAGUAUGCGGAGUGAAUGAAAUUUAUUAGGUUAAUCUAACAAGACAGUCAGUGGAUACAAGAUUGUAAGUACAAAGCGGUAUCGAAGAUUAAUAGUUUGGGUUGUUCGGGGUUCUCUGUAACGAUUAGAGA
rnacentral:lncRNA from 1 species